GACGAAGGGGGCUAGCGUUGUUCGGAAUUACUGGGCGUAAAGCGCGCGUAGGCGGCUCUUCAAGUCAGGCGUGAAAGCCCCGGGCUUAACCCGGGAAUAGCGCUUGAUACUGUUGGGCUUGAGUCCGGGAGAGGAUAGUGGAAUUCCCAGUGUAGAGGUGAAAUUCGUAGAUAUUGGGAAGAACACCAGUGGCGAAGGCGGCUAUCUGGACCGGAACUGACGCUGAGGCGCGAAAGCGUGGGGAGCAACAGGG
rnacentral:rRNA from 1 species